UUAACAAAAAGUGUAUAUAUUAAUUCGCCAAUUUAUUUUUAAUAUUUUUAAUACAACUCAAAUUCGGAAUAACAAUAGAGUUGUUGGUGACAAUUCAAAUAAUAAUUCAUAUCUAAAACUACCUUAUCGAAUGUAUUGAAUAUAAUUCAAAAUAUAUUAUAUAUAAAUAUAAUUAUAUAUUUAGUUGGUAAUAAUUAUAUUAAACUUAUCAAAAUUAUAUUUUGGUUAAACUUGUAACAAUAAUGAAUUUAUCUAGAACCAGCGCAACUAUACAACUAAAUUACAGAAUUAUAAAUAGAAAAUAGGUAAUUAAUAUUAUGUAUGUAUAUUUGUAUAAUAUAUAAACAUAUAUUUUAUAAAAACUUAUUUUUACAUAAAUAUAUAUUCAUACACUGAUAUUGCUCAGUUAACAAGUUUCCAAAAAUAUUAAACCAAUUUUGUUAUUAAGUAGAAAAAUAAUUCUAUAAUUUAUGCAUGUUGCAUUAUAUUGCAUUUAGUUAUAUCAUUUUCUGGACACAUAAAACAAACAAAUAAAAUAAAAAUAUUAAAGAAAUAAAUAUUUGAAGAAUAAAUAAAAAAAUAAAAUAAUAACAACAGUAGGCUAUCAAUUUAACAGAAAAAAAAAUG